GUUAUCGUCCUGCCAUUCAUUAACUUGUCAACAAGUUGCGAGCGACAAGCUUGUAGCGAUUUGAUAAAUUGACAGCAUCGUUAAAACCUGUCGUGGAGCUUGCUACUUUCAAGUCUGUGAUAAACACGUGUUGUUGACAAGAUUUUUAAGGGUGUAGGGCGAACCAGUUCUUUCCUCAAUUUCUGAAUUGGGAAGCGAUAGCCUAGGUUUUCAUUUUUAAAGUUUUUAACCUUUAAUUAAAAGGGUGAAAAAGGACGGUCACACCCAAACGUGUUCAGGUGAAACAUGAUCAAUUUAGUGCAGCUCUAAUUCACUGGGCACAUAUAAACA